UGCGACGGCCUGUCAGAAGGGUAAUCAUUUCUAAGAUUUACAGUCCGUGGACGAGCACCACACUGCUUUAAAACAAAGAGCAGGUUCGUCACCUACCAACGUCUUUUAAAUGGUUGGACUGUAGCGCACCAGGAGCUGCAGCAGGGAUGAGGAUCCGGCUGCAGGGUCCCGGCCACGCUGCCAGCCUUCUCACUGAGCUCAACCGCUGCCGGCAAUCACGCCAGUACUGUGAUGUGGUCCUGCAAGUUGGCAACCGCACCUUCGCAGCCCACCGUGCAGUGCUGGCCUGCGCCGGGACGUACUUCCGUAACCUGUUCGCACGGGCUCCAGCCUCGCCCACCGCCGCCUUCUCUUUGGAGUUUAUCUCCCCGGCCAACUUCGAGAAGGUGCUGACGUUCGUCUACACGGGGGACAUCUUGACCGACCUCAUAGAUGUCGGGGUGCUGUAUGAGCUGGCUGAGAGGCUGGGCGUUAGUGAACUGGUGAGGGCCUGUCAUGCUACCUUCCCCGACCUGCAGGCUUCUGAGUCUGCAAACUGUAAAGCCGGUAGUCCUGAAGACCGCUCCCUGGACUCUAGCAUGGUCGCUGCUGCCGCUGCUGCUGUGUCCACAGUGGCUGCCGCUGGUGCAGCUUCUGCAUCGUCUGUGUGUUCUUCUGCCGCCUCCUGCUCGUCUCUGUCUUCAUCUGCUGCCCCGACCCCUGCUGCCGCUCCCUCGCCCGUCUUCCAAGCCAGAACGGCUAGCGCCGGUUGCAAAGCUCACGCCGGGGCUCUGUCUCUGGAGCUGAAGGCAGAAGACAUGCAGUCUCAUAUCGGCUACGGGCAGAUGGCUGCAGAUCAACCACUACCAGGAGGUCCGAUUGAUGGCGUGCUGCCUCCGGGGCCUGUGCUCCAGCUGAAGAUUGAGCAGGGCCUGGAGGAGGAGGAGGCAGAGGGCAGCCGUGAGGACAGAGACACAGACGGACGAGUGGUUUCUGAGAGCACAGGAAGCUCUCUGCCUCAGAGCAUCGACGCCGCACCGCCCGACUCCUGCUCCUUCGCCGACUCCUCAGCUCCACUCGGAGAUCAGGCCUGCGACUUGGCAUCGUCCUCGGAGGAGCCUGGAGGCGGCCUGCAGGUGGGAUCAGUGGAGGGCGGCGUGGUGGACGUCCGGAGGGACGGCAGGCUGAUGUUCGGAGAGGUGGAGGAGGGUGAGAACGAGGAGGAGAGGGAGGCUCUGAGAAGGAAUGGAGCCACGGAGGGAGCUGAGGAGGAGGAGCAGUGGAGACAGCUGGCAGGGGAGAUCAUCGAGCUGAGCGACGAUGAGACCUUCAUGGACGAGGGAGACGAGGAGGACGAUGAAGACGAUCUUGUGUAUGUGGAGAAUGGAGAGGGGGGGAACUCAAGCAGCCAGGUGACGGGGAACAUGCUGUCGUGUAAAGCCUGCGCAGUGCCUCUCCCAGCGGACUCCGCCGCCAUCAGGAGACACGCUGAGACCCACCUGACGGAGCUGGGGCACUGCAGAGUGUGUGGGGCCUCGUUCCCGGACCGCCCCGCCGCUGUCGCCCACUCCCUCUCCCAUGUGGGGGUGCAGCUCUUCACCUGCGACAUGUGUCACUUGCAGUUCUGCAGCCAAAACAAACUGCUGCGCCACCACCGCCAGACAGCCUCCACUUACACCAUACCACAGGUGGCGCUGACCAACAGCAGCCAGGGACUGGAGCUGCAGUGUGCAGUGUGCACCAAGACCCUCAGCAAGGACUUCCAGACGGUCAAAGACCACCUGCUGAGCCACGUGUGUCCCCAGAGCCUGAGCUGUGGCGUGUGCCACCUCCCCCAGCUCUCCUUGUGCUCCCUGCUGUGGCACGCCCUCGCCCACCUAUCGCUGCCCAUCUUCACCUGCCCACACUGCGCCCGCUGCUUCGUGGAACGCUCCAUGCUGGACAGACAUAUGAUCGCCCACGCCGAGGAGGCGGCAGCUAAGGAGAGGGAGCGCUCGGCGCUGAGGGCGUACAGAGUCCGGGCGGACGGAGGCGCAACGACAGGAGCGGAGGAGUUGCAUUGCUUCCUGUGCCCACAGACUUUCCGCUCCACCUCGGCCUUUCAGUACCACCUCAGCCUGCACACUAGCGAGUCCCUGGCGGGGGUUGGAGGCGCCGGGGGCCAGGGCUGGCUGGGCAAACGUAAAGCCGAGUCUCUGGAGUGCCCUCUGUCCACAUCGUCUCAACGGGAGGUCGGCGGCCUCGUUAAAAUGAGCAACCUGGGCAUGGGGCUGGGAAUGAGUUUCGGCAUGCCGGAUAAGUUUUAUCAAGGGUCAAUGCACAGCGUGCCCUCUGGGGCGACGAGCAACGGGAGUUCAGGGCAGGACGGGGGAGUCGGGGCGGCGGGCAUCCGCGAGAAAUGGUACCGGUGUCGCUACUGCGGCAAACGCUUCGCCCACUCGGGGGAGUUCACCUACCACCUCCGCAUUCACACCGGCGAGAAACCCUACCAGUGCAAGGUCUGCCAGCGCUUCUUCAGAGGCCGCUCCACCAUGAUCUGCCACCUGAAGACGCACGCCGGCGCCCUCAUGUACCGCUGCACGGUCUGCGGCCUUUUCUUCUCCACGCUGAAGCUGGUGUCGUCACACAUGGAGCUCCACAAGGACCACCUGCCCCCGGACUUCAACAUCGAGCAGACCUUCAUGUACAACGAUCACUCUAAAGAACCGCUGCCCGCCGUGGACACCUGAUGUGUGCCCGCCUGGCUUCUCUCCUACACCUCCUCUGUGUCUGGUUGUCGUGGACCACAUACUGCAUAUACCGGUAGUCGAAUAGGGCUGAUACUAACGAUUCUUUUCAUUAUCGUUUUUCUUUUAAAUUGCUGUAAAAUGUCAAAACAUUUUAAAAACGGUUGUCACAUUUGCUCUUAAAAUGUUUGAGUCUGAGCUCUUGGCCCCGUCUUCCUGAAAAGCCCAGUCUGCUCUGAUUGGUGCUUGCUCAGCCAGCACCUACUGUAUGAGCAGCACAGAUGAAAAGCUGGGCUGGCUUUCUCAAUCUGUGACAUCACUAACUGAGGAAUUUCAAACAGGUAUGUGGGCGAGGCGUUUUCAGGCAGAGAAGUAGUGCUGGCUGGGGGGGAGAGGAAGCUCCAUUUGGAGUGAAAUGUGUUUCUUUGUACUUUAUACAUUUAUUACACACACUAAA